GACAAUGAGCUCUUGGCGAUUCUCCUGCAGGAUCCCUCUGGUUACAUAGUACACGCAGAACACUGAGAAGGAGAAAGACAGACAAACCACCCCAGGAAAGGAACAAUGGACUCUUCCUCUUUCACUCUUGCUGAUGGUAAACGAGGCCACUAACAGUUAAAUUCCAAUGAUUCAUGCACAACUGAGAGAAAGGACAUCUUUGGUAGAGAUUCAAGACAUCUGGCCCUUCAAUUAAGGUGAAAGUGAAAGAAGGCACUUUUGGAACCAGAUAUCACUCAAAGGAGAGCCGGGAUGACUGGAGGUACUGUGCACG